rnacentral:ncRNA from 1 species
GGGGGCUCGAAGACGAUCAGAUACCGUCCUAGUCUCAACCAUAAACGAUGCCGACCAGGGAUCGGCGGAUGUUGCUUAUAGGACUCCGCCGGCACCUUAUGAGAAAUUACAGUCUUUGGGUUCCGGGGGGAGUAUGGUCGCAAGGCUGAAAACUAAAGGAAAUGACGGAAAGGCAACCACAGGGGGGGGGCCCGCGGCGU